rnacentral:rRNA from 1 species
AGGCAGCGGAAGUGAUCAUUUACGGUUCGACCUCCUCGCUCCAUCCACAUAGAAGCCACCCACCCACCCCGCACGCACACACUCCUUCACACAGACACACAAAGCAGGAAGUGAUCAGUUGGAGGUCCAUCUCCAAGCUCCACCCAUAUUGACACCAACCACAAGGUCGGCUGCCGCACCGGCCUGCACCGGUGCUAGCGCCAACACACACGGCCGGGAAGGAGGAGCCGGAGCUCCAGUCCAGUGCAUACGGGCUAGGUGAGCCAUGGAGGGAGCUCCCGUGACCGCAGCCACGGGGGUCUUGGGGCCCGUCGUAGCCAAGCUCGGUGCUUUGCUGGGCAGCGACUACAAGCUUCGGCGCCAGACUCGCAAGGAUGUCAAGUCCAUCAGAUCCAAGCUCGAGUCUGUGCACUCUAUCCUUUGGGCCAUAUGGGAGAAGGAGAUUCUUGAUGCCGAAUGCAAGGCGUUGAAGAAGGAAGCGCUAGAUCUCGCCGAUGAUAUGGAGGAUGCCAUCGACGACUUCAUCCUCACUAUGAAACGCAGCCGCAGAAGCAAGCGCUUGAUACAGAGCAAGAUCAAAGCCAGCUGCCCUUUCCAAGAUUUCAGGACAAGAGUAGAUGAAGUGUCAGGCAAGUGCCACACCAAGUGGAAGAACAAGUGUGCUGAUCCUAUCUCCAGCUUAUUUUCAAGAAGAAGUGCAAAAUCCAGUCCCCCCAGCAAGCCGCCUCCUCCUCCUCCUCCUCGAGCUCCAUUUGUCCGCAAGGAUGCAUCAGAGAUCUUUGGCAUGGAGGGAUGGAGGAAUGACCUCAUCACAUACCUGGUAGGAGGAGAAGAAGAGAGCACAACGGUGCAGCCGCAGCUCAAAAUGGCAUCCAUUGUUGGGAUGGCCGGUGUGGGGAAAACAACACUAGCCAGCCUUGUGUAUGAGCAUGAGGACAUUCAAAAUCAUUUCCAGUCCCGGGCUUUUGUGUCCGUCACUCUAGCUCCUAAUAUGAAGGAGGUUCUCACAAAAAUUCUCAACCAAGUAGGAGCCGAACCACUUGCUAGCAACGAAGCAGGGACAGAGGAAGGUCUUAUCCAUGCUAUAUCGAAUUUCCUAGAUGACAAAAGGUACCUAGUAAUAAUUGAUGACAUGUGGCAUCGUGGACAAUGGGAUAUCAUCAGUAAGUCAUUCCCACAAAAUAAUCUGGGCAGCAGAAUUGUCAUGACAAGUCGUAUUCAUUCUAUACCAAGAGAUGAUUUGGAUAAUAACAACUUCUACAUCAAAAUGAAUCCUAGAUGGGAUUUUUUAAAUGGAAGAUGGUUGUACCGGCCUGAUAGGUUCCCCUACACAACUGAUGAGGAAGAUAUCGCUGCUCGGAUGAAACCUGACAUGGUUGGAGAAGGUUUUGACUGUGACCAUCCUAUUGUGCGCAUGUGUGGUGGUGUCCCUUUGGCACUACUUUGCAUGUUUUCAGCAAUGACAAUGGUCCAACAGCAACAAGAACAACUAGGGGUACAUGUAAAUGCACGUGUUGUGCAAGAUAUGAUUGAGAAGCAAGUUAAGCAAAGUGGAAUUCAGAACACUCCAGGGUUUGAACCAUUGGUAGAGAGUUUGCAGCUUGGCUACGCCGAUCUUCCUCACCAUAUGAUGAAGACCUGCUUGUUGUACUGCAGUAUAUACCCUGAGAAUUAUAGUUUUCACAUGAAUGAUUUGGUCAUGCGAUGGGUCGCUGAAGGAUUUACUUAUAAAGAAGAUGCAGCAAAAGAUUAUCUUGAACAGCUUGGCAACAGGGGGUUGAUGCUGCGGGUAUAUGACGGGGCCUACCAAUUCCAAAUGAACCCGAUGAUGCGGAAUUUCCUUAGAUGGAAAUCGCGUGAAGACAAUUUCAUUGCUUGCAGUUCCGACAUCACAUUGGCAUAUGCAUCUGGAAUCCAUCGGCUGUGCAUCGAUGAUUAUCAUGUUGAUGACGGUGCGAUGGAGGGGGUGGAUUGGUCCCAGAUUCGAUCUCUUGUUGUUUUUCAAGGUGCUAAGAUAUAUGUCCCUUUUGAGAAGUUGGAACAUGUGCGAGUGUUGGAUCUUCAAUAUCAUCCUCAGGAUCUUGAAUUCAACAAGGUUAAUUUCAGUCUUUAUGAGGAUCUUGAAUUCGAGGCUCUUGGGAAAGAUUGUGUGAAGGAUAUAUGUGGACUGCUGCGUGUGAGGCACCUUUUUGGCCUAGAGGGGAAAGAGGUUAACGAGAUACCACCAGAAAUAGCGAGGCUGCGCUAUUUGGAGACUUUGCAGGUCAGGCGAACAUUGAUCAGAGAGCUUCCCAGUGAAAUUGGGGACCUACAGCAAUUGAAGACUCUAACCGUGAGUCGCAACCAAAAUCUGGUAGAGCUGCCCAGGGAGAUUGGGGACCUCGAGAAUUUGGAGACUCUGGUCCUGAUAUACAACCGCAGGCUCACAGAGGUACCUCGUGAGAUCGGGAAACUGCAAAAUUUGAAGCGACUGGACUUUACUGGUACAAUGUUACCAAAGGAAAUUUGGGGACUGAAGAAACUAGAACAAUUGGCAUUAUUUGAAGCGCCCAUCGGGGCAGUACACUGGGAAGCUAGUCAGCUUCCAAAAUUAAAGGGAGUGCCCGAGUCGGUCCGCCAAACUUGGAAGAAUGGUGAUCUUGUGUCCGAGUUAUCCGGGGAGAUCCUAUACAUUGAAUUGGCUACUUCGUUCGGUGACAGGGGUGGCAUAACUGUUGGCACAAAACACAUGCACAUUCCAUGGUGGAUCAAGGAUCACUUCAACGACCUUAGCUCCUUGGAUAUCAGGAUCUGCAAACUAGAGGAGCAGGAUCUCAAGAUUUUGCGGGGGAUGCCCAACCUGGAAUAUCUCACGCUAAGGUUUGAAGUCGUCCCAACAGAGCCCAUAGUCAUCAGCGGUGAAGGGUUUCCAAUGCUAAGGCUACUCACUGUUGACAGCCGCAAGCCACCGGUUAUGAGCUUCCAGGAAGGAGCGAUGCCGAUGCUGCAAAGUCUCUGCUUCGAGUUCCAGUUCUACGGUGGCCCACCAAAUAAAGACCCUCUGGGUAUCAAACACCUCCGCUUCCUCAACGAUGUCACCUUUAGUUGCAGCAAAUGGUAUGGAGGAGCAGCAGAGAGCAGCCCGUGCAUCAGCGCCAUGAUUAAAGUGGUGAGGAAAGAAGCCCAGGAGCAUCCCAACUGGAUGCGCUUUUUUGUCACUCGCCGCGAGGAAGAGGAAUUUCCAGCGAACGAGGAGAGCGCACAGGCUUCAAGCAGUGGGACGGCAGAGAUCAAGGAGGAGAUAUUUCAGGCGAAGGAGGUUUCCAGUAGUCAGGGGACGGGCGAGAUCAAGGGGGAGGAGGAGAUCCUGGAAGAAGCUGCGUGAUUGGGUUUCUUCUUUGUGGGUAUUGCUCACGAUUAGCGAGUCGUCUUAAUUUGCAGGUUGGUUAUUUCAUCAUUGUAAUGACUACCUGAAUCUAUCUGCGACCAUCUUCAACUGUAUAUGGCUAGCUAUUCUUCUCUUCAGGCUUGCGUCCUUGAAAAUCUUGUAUCCUCAAAGGUCGUAUACUGCUAGAUCCAGUUUAUUGUUUGCCCACAUUACUUAUCCAAGCUUCCAAGUUGAUUUGGCGUGAAGGCACCUGUAUCUGUAUCAAGGCCGGCGGGUGUUUCUUUUAUUCUUUUUUCAUUUCAGUAAGCAGCGGAGGACAGCAUCUAGAACAGUUUAAUUUCACCUGCCUUAAACGACUUACAAAAAUGAACAGAGGAAGUAAUAGUAAUCCAAGGAGGGGGCCAACACUUUGCUGCUCUGUCUCUAGUGUAGGUUUUAUUAUGCACUUGUUACCAAAACUUUGUUGCUAUUAUGAAAUAAUAAUUGAUGUGACGGUCUGUUUGUAAU